rnacentral:rRNA from 1 species
GAUUGAACGCUGGCGGCAGGCCUAACACAUGCAAGUCGAGCGGAUGAAGGGAGCUUGCUCCUGGAUCCAGCGGCGGACGGGUGAGUAAUGCCUAGGAAUCUGCCUGGUAGUGGGGGAUAACGUCCGGAAACGGGCGCUAAUACCGCAUACGUCUUGAGGGAGAAAGUGGGGGAUCUUCGGACCUCACGCUAUCAGAUGAGCCUAGGUCGGAUUAGCUAGUUGGUGGGGUAAAGGCCUACCAAGGCGACGAUCCGUAACUGGUCUGAGAGGAUGAUCAGUCACACUGGAACUGAGACACGGUCCAGACUCCUACGGGAGGCAGCAGUGGGGAAUAUUGGACAAUGGGCGAAAGCCUGAUCCAGCCAUGCCGCGUGUGUGAAGAAGGUCUUCGGAUUGUAAAGCACUUUAAGUUGGGAGGAAGGGCAGUAAGUUAAUACCUUGCUGUUUUGACGUUACCAACAGAAUAAGCACCGGCUAACUUCGUG